rnacentral:lncRNA from 1 species
CGUGUGGAUUUUUUAAAACGAAUUUUAAUAAAAAAAAAAGUAAAUCAUACAAUAGAACAUUUUUAUGAUUUUUUUUCUAAAAAUACUUUAAACAAACAUACGAAACUGACAUGAUCGAUAGUGUAUUAAAAAUACAUGUUUGUAUUCUGACCUUUUUGCUUCAUACCAGCAAUCAUUUUCACUUGCUUGUACGGUGGAAACAAUAAAAUGUGUAUUGUUUUGUGACACCUAAAGAAUGUGGAAUGCGUAGUUUAACUCAAGGUAAUUAAAAGAUUAGCAUUAUGUAAUUCUAAUCUUUUGAUCCUCAUUCAGUGAAUUCUAGGCGUCACGGUUCACUGGCAUUUCAGGUGUGAACAACAUUUCGUAUCAAUUGUAAACGGGAGUCAGACAAAGUUUCAGACACAUGAAUGUAAAAUAAAUUAAUUAAAAUUAAUUAACGGGAAUAAUAAGAUCGCACAAUAACUGGAUAGCUGUAUAUUUUUAUAUUUUGCA